AGUUGCCGGGCGCGGGGUCGCGUGGCUCUCACACACUGUCUGCGCUGAUGGCUGACGGAAAAGGGAAUUGGUUCCAGCUCGCAGACCUGUGGGUGGCGAGUGGGUUGUCCUGAGCCCAGCCGUGGGUGGUUCUUUUGGGCCUUGGCCAUGGCUUUGGGAGCCUGAGUGUCUUCAUCUCCGGACACUUUGUGUCACCUGCGCCCCCACGGGAAUACGGAGGGUGGGGGUGGGGUGUUGACCUUCACACGGAAGGAUCUCAAGUUCCAAGUUCGAGGAGCGCUGGGAGUUGGGACCACCAUGCGGUCUGAGGCUACCAGCAAGCGUGGGGAAGGUAAAGAGAGGGUUGAGAGCCCGGAUCCAGGUCGGAAGAGGACUUCACCAUUCAUUCCCCUGGUGGCAUGGGGACAAUGACCCGAAGCCAGCGAUGGAGAUAAGCGAAAUGUCUGCAAAGAGCGGAUGACCAGCUUUGUGUUGUCCCUCUCCUCCAGACUGGGGAGGAAGACGAGAUGGGCACAUCCCUGCAGCUGCAAGUCACCAGCCUGUUUGCUGAGUAGCAGGCCAACGUGAGACACUGUCUCAAAAACAAGGUGAAAACCUUUCUAGAGCUCUGCCCUUGCCCGGCCUGUGUUCAUCUCUGUUCCCUGGGCCAGAGGUAGAAGCGCUGAGGACUGAGAAGGCCACCCCAAAUGGUCCCUAUCGCCAAGUGGCCCCAGAGCAUUCAAGGGAAGCGUUCUGCUGGACUGGACCAGUGGGAAAACUGAAGCCCCAUUAAGGCAGAAGAGUCUGGUACAGGUAUGCAGUGGGUGGUGUCCCAGUGACAAACCGCAGUGGUAGCCAGAGCACUCUGCCUCAAGCGUCGGCAGCAUCUCGUCUAGAGAGGCUGUUUAUUCAGACUUCAUUCUUGCCAGAAUGGGCGAAGAGUCCCCUCAUUAGCCAGGAAGCCCUUUCUUACAAGGAAGGUUUGACUAUGCCAUCCUCUUUAAGCCCAGGAGUCCCUCUUGAUAUUCCCGAGGCAGUCAUGUGAACUGCCCCGAAAUCAAGUACCCCAAGUCUUAAGUAAGUGAGGCUUUUGCAGCCUGACCUGCCAGGCUUUACCAGACUCUUUGCCCUGAAAAGCUGGCAGAAAUGUGACCCCGAGGGUUUGCCGUGGAUUGCCAGCGAGAUCGAUGAGGCCCAGCUGUCUCCUGGCACUCAGGAAGGGUUCUGGUUGCUGUUUCCUUUCUCUCCCUGGUAGCCAGGGUUCCCCGUAGCCCCAGGAGAGCACAGAAGAAGCCACCUUGAGUGUUUGCUGGAGGCAGUGUCUAGCCUCAGUGUUUCAGAUACUACUUUGUCCUCUGAAGGCUUACUUCAGAGCUCUGAGCUACUGUGGACGAAAAGGAAAAGGACAAGUGGUGAUGAGCUGUGAUGACCCCGAUGAAAACGGGUUAUAGUACUUCUGUUGGAGAAAAUAUUAAGAUUCUGUCUUUACAGCGAUGUUCUAAAAUAGAAAGUGGUGAUGGUGUCAUGGGCCUAAUGAGGAUGCUGGACUAAAGUCUAUUAAACUGUGCAAACAGGCAAA